GAUGAAGAACGCAGCGAAAUGCGAUAAGUAGUGUGAAUUGCAGAAUUCAGUGAAUCAUCGAAUCUUUGAACGCACAUUGCGCCCCUUGGUAUUCCAUGGGGCAUGCCUGUUCGAGCGUCAUUUGUACCUUCAAGCUUUGCUUGGUGUUGGGUGUUUGUCCCGAGGGACUCGCCUUAAAGUAAUUGGCAGCCAGUGUUUGGCUUUGAAGCGCAGCACAAGUCGCGAUUCAAGGCUACACGCCCGCUUCCACAAGCCUUUUUUCACUUUUGACCUCGGAUCAGGUAGGGAUACCCGCUGAACUUAAGCAUAUCAAUAAGCGGAGGA
rnacentral:misc_RNA from 1 species